UCCAUCUCAUUGGUCAUAUUGUCAAUGGGUAUCUGGAAGGAAAGAACUGACUAUGAGCUAGGCCCUGCUGUAAGCGCUAACUGAUCCUUGCAAACAACCAAGGGGGUUUUUAUUUCCUUAAAGAAUAUGCCUACCAAACACGAACCUCCUUAGAAGGACCAGAAAGAGGCCUAGGCAACCUGAUCACUCUGAAUGGACGAUGCAUUUUAAGUUGCAAACUCACUGCAAGUUUACAGAGCAAGUUACAGACUUACAGAGCAAUCACGGACUGCCGGGCUUACUGCGUCAGCUUCUUGACUUUAACCAAUGCGUCUUGAGAGAUAUUUACUGAGUGGCUACAUCAGGCUCCAUGUUUCGUGCCAUGGAAGUCAAAAGAGAGGGAGGGACGAGCAGGAAGGCUGAGCCGUAUCAGAGUGGGCAGAGUGCGGCAGAGAGAGAGAAAGGUACCAAAGUACCCAAAGUAGUGAUGGCUUCCCUCAGACCUUCCCUUCCCUUUCUAGCCUAAAACCACCAAAGAGAAUAAAAUGCUCUCAUUUUGUAUCUCUUCUG